GCGGAGGUGGGGAUUUGUACUUGUACACUGGAGGUGGUGGGGAGUAAACCGGAGGUGGUGGAGACUUGUAUUUGUAAACCGGUGGUGGUGGGCUGUAAACCGGAGGUGGGGGAGAUUUGUACUUGUAAACCGGUGGUGGUGGGCUGUAAACCGGAGGUGGGGGAGAUUUGUACUUGUAAACCGGUGGUGGUGGGCUGUAAACCGGAGGUGGUGGAGAUUUGUACUUGUACACUGGAGGUGGUGGGGAGUAAACCGGAGGUGGCGGAGACUUGUAUUUGUAAACUGGUGGAGGUGGGCUGUAAACCGGAGGUGGUGGGGAUUUGUACUUGUACACUGGUGGUGGUGGGCUGUAGACCGGUGGUGGUGGAGACUUGUAUUUGUACACUGGUGGUGGUGGGCUGUAGACCGGUGGUGGUGGAGACUUGUAUUUGUAAACCGGUGGUGGUGGGCUGUAAACCGGUGGAGGUGGAGAUUUGUACUUGUACACUGGAGGAGGAGGCGAGUACACGGGCGGUGGUGGGGAUUUGUAUUUGUAGACGGGCGGAGGUGGCGAGUACACCGGCGGUGGCGGGGAUUUGUAUUUGUACACCGGCGGCGGCGGCGAGUAGACGGGCGGGGGCGGGGACUUGUAUUUGUACACCGGUGGAG
rnacentral:lncRNA from 1 species